CCAAAUACUCAUCAUAAUGAUGUUCAGUCAUAUUUUUCAAGCAAUAAUACCUUUAUAUUACUGUUACAUUUACUAAGCCCUUGAAAUAUUUUUGAGAGCGAACCAAAGCUUAACCCAACCCAAACCAAAAAUGAUGAACAGGUGAAGCAGGCUCAUCCAGACAACUUCUCACUGAGCUUGAAAAAAUGACGACACGUAGGAUGCUGUCUAAAACAUUGGAACAUUUGAAUUCUGGGGAGCUUGAAGAUUUCUGCCUACUUGUUGAAUUGGAGAAAGGUGUCCCCCUCCUCUCAAAACUCGAUCUAAAAUCAAUAUGCCCAGAGAAAAUAGAGGAGCUGAUGGUGAAGAGAUACAGCGAGGAGGAGUGUGUGAAGUUGACCAGAAAUAUCUUAAAGAAGAUGAACAGGACUGCUCUCGUGAAGAGAUUGCUUGGCGACAGACGGGAGCCCGAAGAAGAACACUCUAUGGAUGAAGAGCCGCUUUCACUGACCCAGAGGGUGAGUAUGUCACAUCACUCUGACUUCACACAGCGUC